rnacentral:piRNA from 1 species
AAAACAGAUAAUGCAAUGAUACUAGGAUAU